UACGAAGGGGGGCUAGCGUUGCUCGGAAUUACUGGGCGUAAAGCGCACGUAGGCGGCUUCUUAAGUCGGUGGUGAAAUCCUGGAGCUCAACUCCAGAACUGCCUUCGAUACUGGGAGCUCGAGUCCGGGAGAGGUGAGUGGAACUGCGAGUGUAGAGGUGAAAUUCGUAGAUAUUCGCAAGAACACCAGUGGCGAAGGCGGCUCACUGGCCCGGUACUGACGCUGAGGUGCGAAAGCGUGGGGGAGCAAACAGG
rnacentral:rRNA from 1 species